rnacentral:lncRNA from 1 species
CAGUCUUCUACAAGAACCGGACUCCGUCCGAACUUCCAUAGCGAAUAGAUUUUGGAUGAGCUUCUAGAACAGACGGCUACAACAGCUGGAUUUCUACAACGAUCGAUCACCUCCGGUGUCUGCCGAACCUCCCCAGCCAUCAGCUUUCAAUAGCAUCAGCCAGACUUUCACAACGCCAUCCAGACUUCCACAGGAUCCCCAGACUCCUCU